rnacentral:sRNA from 1 species
CUGGAUAUUUUUUAUACAGCGCAGUUAAAAGUUGCUCGAAAAAGAAUCAACGCCUACAAUUUUUUUGCUUCUUGCUUUACGUCAGUUUACUUACGACAAGUAAUGGGUAGUAUGUACGCCGGCUAUUUCCUCACUCUGAGGAGA